rnacentral:tRNA from 1 species
GCUUGAAUAUUUUAUUAAAAAUUAUGAUUUGUGGAGUCAUAGAUGUUGUUUCAACUUCAUGCC